rnacentral:rRNA from 1 species
UACGAAGGGGGCGAGCGUUGUUCGGAAUUACUGGGCGUAAAGGGCGCACAGGCGGUCCAUCAAGUCAGGCGUGAAAGCCCCGGGCUCAACCUGGGAACUGCGCUUGAGACUGGCGGACUUGAGGACGGGAGAGGAGAGUGGAAUUCCCAGUGUGGAGGUGAAAUUCGUAGAUAUUGGGAAGAACGCCGAUGGCGAAGGCAGCUCUCUGGACCGUUACUGACGCUGAGGCGCGAAAGCGUGGGGAGCAAACAGG